rnacentral:lncRNA from 1 species
GUCUUUUUGCCAUUUCUUGGGCCGCUCCCACAGCAUAUGGGAGGUUCCCACGCUAGGGGUCGAAUCGGAGCUGUAGCCGCCAGCCCACACCAGAGCCAUAGCAACGCUGGAUCCGAGCCGCGUCUGCGACCUACACCACAGCUCACGGCAACGCCAGAUCAUUAACCCACUGAGCAAGGGCAGGGAUCAAACCCACAACCUCAUGGUUCCUAGUCGGAUUCGUUAACCACUGCGCCACGACGGGAACUCCCGGCACUGGAGGCUUUAAGCAGGGCAGUGGGAGAUCCAAUCUGUGCAUUAAAUGGAUCCCUGUGGAUGCCAUGAGGGGGCAUGGGCAGGUGCACCAGUGGGGGGGCAGUGGUCUGGGAUGGGCACUGCCUGCAGGGUGGCGAGGAACCGUCCGAUGGUAGGUGCCUUUUGAAGGUGGAGCUGGCAGGUGCUGAGCGGAUGGCUAGGAUGGAAGGGAAAAAUCAGACUCAUAGGUGACUCCAAGAUUUGGGGUCCUAGCAGCUGUGGUCCAGAGUGGCCUGUGGGGCGUUGGGAAGUGGAGGGAACUUGACUGGUCCCUUGGCCCCGGGGCUGCUGGUGCUGGUGCUGGUGCUGGUGCUGGUGAGGGAGGGUGGUUGGGCCCCCAGCCCAGGGGCACUCCUCUGUCCCCUUCCUGAGCCACAGCACUGUCCUGUCCUAAAAGGAGACCUGACCACCUCCACUUGUCCAGCUGAUCCCUGAUGGCCUGAGCACGUGCUCUGGGGAGUCUGGCUCAGGCUCAGGGAAGAGCUGGAGGGGGCGGCUGACCGGGAGGAAGCUGGAGGAUGGAGACAGGCCAUCCCGUGACAAGGUCCUCAGCUCCCAGAGGAGGUGGUACUGACCCACAGCCCCAGGGCCGUAUGGUGGCCCUCCCUUCAUUCGUUCAUUCAUUCAUUCAGCCCCUGCAUUGGACACGUAGGCCCGUGUUAAUCCCAUCUCUCCCCCGGGGGGCUCAUGGUCCAGAGAGAAAGAAACAACCAGGGGCCAUUACAAGUGAGCACGCUGGGUGUUUGAUGGGGCCAGGCGGCUUCCUGGGGGGAAGUGUCACACCUGAAAGGGGAAGGACAGGUAGGAGUUGAUCAGAUGAGGGGGAGGUGAACACAGAUGGGAGAAAUGUUGGCCGUGGGGCCUGGAGGCGUGGACCAGGUCAGUGGCCGUAGGUGUAGAGGCCUUUCUCGAAAAGGCUUCCAAGCGAGCCAGGCCUCACCUGCUGGGGUCACUUGUUCGCUCAGUCAUUCAUCAAUCAGAUCUUCACCAAGCGCCGGCUGCGCAAGGCUUGGGCUCUCGCUGGCGAUAAGGAGACAAAUCAGUCGUGGUCCGUGUCCCUGCGGGGCUCAGAGAAGAGCAGGGGAGACGGAGAGUGAGCAAUCACGACCCAAAACUGUGAUGAGAAAGUAGGAUGUUUGCCGAGAAGGACGAGAACCAGGUGGGAAGAGGGAGCACAGGCAGGGCGGCCCAGCGGGGGGGCUUCAGAGGGGACCUGCAAGGCCUGGAGGGUGACGGGUUUGAGGGCAGAGAAAACCGCAGCGUGGGCUGGCUUGGUGAUCAUGGGUGGGUCCCUGAGGACCCCAGAAUUCAGAGGUGCUUCAGCCACUGCGGCAGGUGGGGGCUGGGCCAGGCUGGGGAGCGAGGGAACAGCAGCACAGAGAGGCCUUGCUCUGUGUUAUCUGUUGGGACCCUUGUAAGAGUUUAUUAGGAUCAAGGCUAAGUCUGAAAGCUCCGAUUUGGGGGGGAUUAAUAUCUGGUCCAAGCACCUGGGGUCUCACCUGCCUGAAGUGUAGGCCCCAGAAACACACAUUCUUCCCAACGAUGGGCAGGUGUCCCCGCUGCCGAAGGGAGGGAGUCUGAGCAGGGACCAGCCCAGCCCAUGUUCCCAGGGAAGCUGGCUGUCCUUCCGGUUGGAUGUCAGGCCAGCCUGGAGCAUGGAAAGCCUGCCUCCUGUUGUCACAGGGCACCUGGAACUCUGCCCCAGGGAGGACAGAGCCGCUGCCAGAGGGGACCCGGGUGGGGGAGAGCAGGGCAGCGUGGCUGGCCGGGCCCCAGCUGGGCUCACCUUUCCUGGAAGCCAGGCCGGGCGGGAAGCAGGAUUUCCAAGCGCUCACACACACACACACACACACACACCCGUCCUCACAAGCAGAGGGCUCACACACACACACACACACACACACACACACACACACACGUACUCCCAAGCAGAGGGCUCUCUCUGAUCCUCGGUGGCCCUAAUGAGUGCUGUGGAGAGCUGUUUACAGCUAAGUGAGCUGUAAUGGCUUUCUGCGGUCAUUAGACACAGGCUGUUGGGAGUGCCUGAGGGGCUGCCCGGCUGGACUCCCGCCUGCUUCCCCCGGACCCAGAUCAAUAAGCCAGGAGUGGACCUGGCUGGACUGCUACCUCCCGGAGCAUGGACAGCCCCUGGGGACCACACUGGGUCACCAGAGCCACCCUUGACUCCAGGCCAUGAGCCAGCUGGAGUGGCGAGCUCUUGGGUGUGGGAACCCCAGCGUGGGCGCAGAGCGUGUGGGGUUAGCGAUGGUGUGGGUGUGCUGGGGGCUGGGGCCUGACCAGGGGGACCUUUUAGAAUUAAACCUGAUUCGGUCCAGCCCCUAAGGGCUUCUCUAUUAGAGACAGACCUGGCCUUGAGCUCAGCUGUGCCAUGGGUUGGACAAGCGAGAGGCCCUUUCUGAGCCUCAGUCUCCCCAUCUGUAAGAUGGAACUGAAACAGCACUCUUGGGAGUUGCUGUUGUGGCUCAGUGGGGUAAGAACCCGACUCCUAUCCAUGAUGCAAGUUUGAUCCCUGGCCUUGCCUAGUGGGUUAAGGAUCUGUUUGGCCUGGCUGUGGCUAUGGCAGGCAGCUGCAGCUUUGAGUCGACCCCUAGCCUGGGAACUUCCAUAUGCCGCAUGUGCAGCUCUAAGAGAUUUAAACAAACAAACAAACAAACAAACAAACAAAAACAGCACCCUUGGCAGGGGGGUUCUGAGGAUGCAGGGAGGUGAUGCACGUGAAGUGCCAGCAUGUGGUCACCCUCAGUGGACAGAGGUGGCUGCUACAUCACCGUCAUCUCGUCAUCAGGCACCAUCGUCCAUUAUGAGAGGGACCCUCGCUGGGUCUCCCUGUCUUGUUUUUGUUUUGUUUCUUUGGUUGGUUGGUGUUGGCUGAUCCAGUGUCAAAGCCAGGCCUGCCAGCCAGCUGCGGAAGCCUGCCGCUUUCACCGUCCCGUGCUUCACAGGCUGUUUAAUGUUGGGCUUUGGGGAAACAGAGCCAGGAGCUCACCAUGGAUGGGUCCUGUGCCAUCCGGGCUGGGUGCAGGGGGUGGUGGGAGCAGCGGCAGGGAGGGGAGGAGGACGUGGCAGGGCUGCGCCUGUGGCCGUUUGCCCUGCAUCCAUCCGCCUUGCCCAGCACAGGCUCACGGAGCAUCCCCAGGGCGCUGGGAGAGAAACGGGGCUGAGUCUCCGCCUCUGCCAUCCAGAGCCUGGGAGAGUUAGGGCUCUGAGGUCUUACUGCCCAUUCCUCAUGCAGAGUAAGUGCCCCGCGCCUGGCGCUGCGGCCUCCUGUAACUCAAGCCCCGUUGCGCAGAGCCUCCUCCGACACUUUCAUCACCCGCAUAUCUUCCGGCGCUGAGAGCGGGGGACAGCUGUGCCCCUCCUAGAAAUCCAGGAGGAAGACGAGAGAUGGAGGGUUACAGACCCAGGGCUGGGCUCGGAGCUUUGUCCCAAGGCCCUUUACCCAGGGUUCUCACCACCCACCUGCCUAUGUGAGCUAGAGUGACCCAGUUCUCUCCCUUUGUCUGGAAUUUUCCAAACUGCACCAGUGUCCAUAGUGGUUCUCAACCCAGACCACAGCUUAAAAUCACCUGGAGGGGCUUAAAAUUUUCUAAUGCCCGAGUUCCUGUUGUGGCGCAGCGGAAACGAAUCCGACUAGGAACCACGAGGUUGCGGGUUCGAUCCCUGGCCUCACUCAGUGUGUUAAGGAUCCGGUGUUGCCAUGGGCUGUGGUGUAGGUUGCAGAUGUGGCUCGGAUUUGGUGUGGCUGUGGCUGUGGUGUAGGCUGGCAGCUGUAGCUCCGAUUAGACCCCUAGCCCGGGAACCUCCAUAUGCUGCUGUUGUGGCCCUAAAAGGACAAAAGAGGAAAAAAAACAUUUUGAAAACCCCUUACAUGUGUGAAUCGAAUAUGCCCCCAGGGUUAAUAAUCGCAAAGGUAAAGAAAAUGGGCUUCAGGGCUGGGCCUCCAGCCCUGGCUCCACCACUUACUGUGUGACCUUAGGUGAGCUGCUCAACAUCUCUGAACCUUCAUACUGAUUUUCAUUAAAAAAAAAAAAAAAUGAAUAAGCAAAAUGUAAUGGAGACAAGAGUUCCUGGCUCUUAAGGAGCAAACUCUUGAGUGUCAAUUAAGAAAACAUAUGCAAAAGCGGAGUUCCCAUUGUGGCACAGCAGAAACAAAUCUGACUAGGAACCAUGAGGUUGUGGGUUUGAUCCCUGGCCUCACUCAGUGGGUUAUGGAUCUGGCAUUGCUAUGAGCUGUGGUGUAGGUCGCAGACGUGACUUGGAUCCUGCAUUGCUGUGGCUGUGGCCAUGGCUGUGGCUGUGUUGUAGGCUGGCAGAUGUAGCUCAUACUCAGCCCCUAGCCUGGGAACUUCCAUAUGCAUCCAGUGCAGCCCUAGAAAGCCAAAAAAAAAA